AAUGCAUUUUACAUGUAUUUGAAAUUUUAACGUUUGUUUUGCAGAACCUGGCUGUCACAAUCUUAUGAUGUGCAGAGGACUGGCUGCAUUCUGUUUGAAUCAUAUUCAGGGAUAGAUCUUUUCCAGGAAACUUUCUGAAUCAUGGCAGAUGAUUCACCAGGUAAAGUCCAAGCUCUAAGAGCUAUCUUUUCAGAAAAGAACAAGCCGUUAAUGGGGAUGAUGCCACCUGGGACGAGGUUAUCUAACAGACCGUGGAAACGAACUUCUGAAUCUGAAGAGAACCUUGUGACUUUAAAAGAAAAACAUUCUAGUGAAUCCAUAUUGCAUUCUCGAACGAUUGCUAAAGUAUUACCAUUUCCUGCAAAAAAAGUAGACACAGUUAACGGGGAAUCGCACAAGGAAGUCAAUGGUUUCAAUGACAGAAACUCAAAUAAAUGCAACUUAAAACCAGUCAUUGGCCCUAAGCCUUCUCACUUACUACAACAGGGUAGGACUAAUUCAUCUCUGAAUGUAAAUACGGAAGCUUCUGAUGUCAAUGAGAUCGGAGAUGUUAACGAAAAUGAACGGUGUUUGAAUUUAAAUAAUGGUCAGGAAAUGCCGAAAUCACAGGCAAAAUCGAAAGCAUUUGCUGAAACUAUUGCCUCUUUCAUGUUCACUAAUGGUGCUCAGAAUAAAGAAGAUGACAAAAUUUCUCCUGUUGAUAAUAAAAAAAGUAUUCCGCCGAUACCAAAGCCUAGGGCUUCUCAAAUGCAUACAAAUAUGCAGAACCAAAUGGAAGUUAUGAAUAUGUGUAAUUCACAUAGUGUUAUGCUACCAAAAAAGGACAUGGGACCUUCUUGUUGUAAUUUAAUAAACUCUGAUAAUUAUGUAUGCAAGAGUAAUUGUAAGUUCCGCAGAAAAGAGCUUCCGACGCUUGAGGAGCUUGGGCCUCCUCCACCAAAGCCAGUGAAACCUCAUUAUUUGAAGUUACCUGCCAAAUUUUUAAUACAGCCUUUUGCUUCUAACUCUGCUGUUCAGUUCUUGCAAUCGACUGAAGAUUCAGCUCCUAUACUUCCUCAAAGGCCAGCUCCACAAAAGCCUUCUUAUCCCUGCCCACCUAGGCCGCUUACACCUCCACCUUUGCCCCCCAUUUUAGCACCUGUGAUAAAACCUCAAGUUUCAUUGCGAGAGGAAAUUGAAGAAUUAUAUGAAGAUACUCUACUAGGAGAAAAUGGCAGAAGGCCUGUGUCUCUCAUCCCCGAAUAUACAGAAGAGGAAGAGCAAGCCGAAGAGCUAUAUAAUGAUGCUGGUGAAGCUGACGAUGUGCCAACUUGUCCAGUCCCUUCUUUACCCACAAAGCCAAAGAAUCCUCCUCCACCUUGUCCAUCUGAGUACCUGCAGCCUAAUGUUCAUGGUUCAAAUGAGGAAUUAUAUCAAGAUGCUGAUGGACCCAUUCAAGAGGAAUUUUAUGAAGAAAUGCCAUGUGAUUUUAUUCCCGAGGAUUCGGGGUCACCCUUAUACAGUAAUAACCGAAAAGAAAUAGAGAAACUGCGAAGGGAGGAAGAGAAAAGAAUUCGUAAAGAGCAAAAAGAAAAAGAAAAAAAGGGAAAAGAAAUGGAAAAGCUGAAAAAGAAGUUUGGGUUGACUGGUGAAGAGAUACCUAUUGAUGAUGGACUGGUAAAAGCAGACAGUCGUGGUGGUAAAGGAGAUUUAGCUGUUAAGAAAGGUGAAACUGUUCUAAUUCUGCGCAUGGAAGGAAAUCCUUCAGGCAGGUGGCUGGUAAAAAAUGAAAAAGGAAAGAUUGGUUAUGUGGAGCUGACAAAUAUUGAGGCCUUAACCCUAUCUGAGGAUGAUGUGUGUACAACUCCUACAGAAAAGAAUAUUACAUGGUUAUCUAAGAUCACUGCUUGUGUGAGGUGAUGUCUAUAAGAAGAUUGUCUGUGAUUAGCAGUCAGUGCGAGGAGUUGUACAGUGAAGCAAAAUCUGAAGAAGAAGCUAUUUAUGAAGAAACAUACUAGAAGGACUGUGUAUGCUGCUUCUGUGUACAGUUUGCUCAUAAUAAUGGGUGCGAUAGCUCAAAAUGUAUUUUACUUAAACAUCAAAAGAUAAAAAUUGAACAUAUAACGCAUGUAAACGAUAUAAAAACAGCACAAUGCUAAACCAAAUAUUUGUAUAUUUCUUUUUAAGUACUCAUUUUAUACAUUCUGUUUUAUAUUCAUAAAAAAAGAUUUCUCUAAGUUAUUUCAUGCAUAAUAAAAUAAUUUGUAAGUAUUCAUUUUUGUGCAAAAACUCUGUCUUAAAUUAUAUAUUGAAAUCUUUUUUCCCUUACUUUAAGCUAUAUACUUAUUUUAUUCACAGUAUACUAAUUUCAGUAACUAUAUAAAAUUAUUCAAGUCUUUUUAACAAAACUGCUGACCGUGCCUUAAUUUUCUAAGUUUUGAACAAAAUAAUAAUUAAAUAAAAUCUGUUUCAUGAGAGAAGAAUUUUAGACCUAAUUGAUAGGGGAAUAUAAAUUAAAUAAAAUACAGUAAAUUACAGUAAGGAAUGCUAAUUCUAUGAAUUUGUCUAAUUAGGUUUCAACUCUAUAUUAAAAAUAUGUCUGAAAAUGUUACUGAAAUGUAUGUACAUUAUUUGACUGCAGAAUUCUCUAUCAUUUAAAUACUGAUGCAGAAUUUAAAUGAAAACUUUUGUACAUAAUUGUAAAUAUUUAUUUUAUUAUAAUGGCUUUUUACAGAAUGUCAAAAUGCUGUAUAAUCUCUUGUACCAUGUCUAGUCUAUAAAUUUUAUACUGUAAGAAAUGUUAUAUACUGAUCAAAUUUUAUAUUAUUAAAUAAACAAAAUAUAAGGAAAUAAAAUUUAUUACCUCCUGCAUACUUUUUAUUUUUAAAAAUUCACUAUGGCAAUGAAAUUUUUACAUUUUACAAGAAAUCAAAAUAUUACUGUAGCUUUAUACAAAAUAUAUAUGAAGUUCAACAAAAUUCAUCUCGAAAUUAUCAAAUUUCACGCUUAAAAUUAAAUACAAAUGCCUAAUGAGAAAUGUUUCGAUACAUAUAUAAAAAGGUGGCAUGAAAGUUUUGCAAAUACAAGACAAUAUAAGAAUUUCUAUAAGCAAUAAAAGGAAAAUCGUGUUACCUUAAGCACUUUAUUAGUUUAGUCCACAUGUUGCGACUUCUUUGCCACUUUGUUUAAUAUAAUUCGUAUAAUUAAUUUUUCUGCAGCAAUGGACUAUUAAUUUGCACUGUAUAAAUCAGGAAAACACUAUUUCACAAUAUAAUGCAAAAAUAAUUCUUAAUAAAUACUGUUUUUUUAUUAUUAUUUAUUUAAUUUUUUAUAAAUUAAAGUUUUGCUUUAAAAACAUGUUUUUGAUUAUAUAUGACUAUUGUUAUUAAACCAAGAAGACAAGUCAACUAUUUUGUUUCCUCAUUUAAAUGUUGCAUAAUCAGUUUAUAUACAAAAAUAAAGAGAGCUAAAUUAACAAGCAUGGUUUCAUAGCUUGUAUGAACAUGCAUGUUAAUUUUGAAGUUAACAAGAUGAGAUUCAGAUUAUUUGAAUAUUCAAAAAAAAAAAAAAAAAGUUUUUAA
rnacentral:misc_RNA from 1 species